ACGCCGCAUAUGAACUUCUUUUUUGUUUUUUUGUAUUUUUGUUUUUUUUUCAGUUCUUCCCCGAGCAACAAAAAUCUUCGGUCUUUCUUCUUCAGGUCCUCCUCGAGCAGCAACACUCAAACAUCUGCAAUCUUUGUUACACUUACAACAGCCAACAACACGGCAACACGUUAAUCUUCCUUUCGUCCUCAGUCCCAGCCGAAGCAAAUCUAUGAGAUUAAGGAUUUUCUUCUCACAGUAAGAAGAAAGGAUGCACGUUUAGUGAGGAUCAAGAAGAGCAGAGAUGUGGUUAAAUCUAAAGUUAGGUGCUUCAACUUCUCAAGAGAAGGCUGAGAAGUUGAAGCAGUCACUCCCACCUGACGUGGCAGAACAAGUCAUUGGUACACUAAGCGAUUUAAGGGGCUGGAAGAUCUUUUUAACAUGACUUAACUGCUGACAUGGAGGAUAACUUUUUGUUAGCCGUUUUUUCUAAAAAACGGUCAAAACCGGGGUACAUUUGUAAAAGUGAAAAAAAUGGGGUACAUUUGUAUGCGCACAAAAAAACAGAUGUACAUCUGUAUUUCAUCCAAGAAAAAAAACAUGAGAAAAAACCGAAGGUUGUCAUGUUAUCAUAUAAGGACAUGCCUUGUUAUGAGUUUUGACAAUAAAUUGGUAUUGCUACUACCUUCAUUUUGA